CAGACCUGAGAGAGGUGACUCUGCUGAGUACAAGUUCGGAUUAUUAACAGAUCAGACCGGAGGGAAAUAUAUUGGCAGUCCUGGAGUCACUCUGUCUGUCACAGAUGUUGUGUUGGAGAUGGAUCCUACAUCUGUGUCAGAGAGGGAGAAUGUCACACUGAUAUGUAGAACCAAAUGUACACUGGACCCCAUCACAGCCUACAGUUGGUAUAAGAAUGGACAGCCUAUACCAAACAGCAACACCUCCUCUCCUGUCUAUAGCCUAUUCUCAGUCAGCAGUGAGGAUACAGGCCGAUACUCCUGUGCUGUAGAAGGCCAUGAGGAUCUCCCCUCUGCUGAAGAGACUCUCACUGUCACAUAUGGUCCAAGGAACACCUCAGUGUCAGUCAGUCCCUCUGGUGAAAUAAUGGAGGGCAGUUCAGUGACUCUGACCUGCAGCAGUGAAUCCAACCCACCUGUGGACAAAUACACCUGGUACAAGAAGAAUGUUACCUCAUCAAAAGCAUCAGGACAGAGUUACAGCAUCACUAACAUCAUCUCUGAGGACAGAGGAGAAUACUACUGUGAGGCUGAGAAUACAAUAGCAUCUA